rnacentral:rRNA from 1 species
AGCGAACGCUGGCGGCAGGCUUAACACAUGCAAGUCGAGCGGGCGUAGCAAUACGUCAGCGGCAGACGGAUGAGUAACGCGUGGGAACAUACCUUUUGGUUCGGAACAACACAGGGAAACUUGUGCUAAUACCGGAUAAGCCCUUACGGGGAAAGAUUUAUCGCCGAAAGAUUGGCCCGCGUCUGAUUAGCUAGUUGGUG